AAGUCGUAACAAGGUAACCGUAGGUGAACCUGCGGUUGGAUCAUUAACAAGAAAAUGAUUUGGGAUUGGGAAAGGAGGAUAUGACAAGAAGUAGUUUAUAAAUGGCUAAUUUUUGUGAUUACUGACUUUCCCACCCAAACAACCCCCCUGUCAACUGUUUAUAGUCUCUGGUGCGGUUCAACGUAGUGUUUUUCAAUCUUACGAAAGAAAACGCUAUGGGACUUGACUCGUCAAUCUCCCGCACUGUCCAUACACAACAUAUAAAUGUCCAAUAUUCGUCUCAACAAACAACGUUUAAUUAAAAACAACUUUUGACAACGGAUCUCUUGGCUCUC
rnacentral:misc_RNA from 1 species